rnacentral:rRNA from 1 species
UACGUAGGGAGCAAGCGUUGUCCGGAAUCAUUGGGCGUAAAGCGCGCGUAGGUGGCUUCGUAAGUCCGUUGUGAAAGCAAAGGCUCAACCUUUGAAAGCCGAUGGAUACUGCGGAGCUAGAGUACGGAAGAGGCGAGUGGAAUUCCUGGUGUAGCGGUGAAAUGCGCAGAUAUCAGGAGGAACACCAAUUGCGAAGGCAGCUCGCUGGGACGUUACUGACGCUGAGACGCGAAAGCGUGGGGAGCAAACAGG